rnacentral:rRNA from 1 species
UACGGAGGAGGAUAGCGUUGUUCGGAAUUACUGGGCGUAAAGCGCGCGUAGGCGGACUGUUAAGUCGGGGGUGAAAUCCCGGGGCUCAACCCCGGAACUGCCUUCGAUACUGGCGGUCUAGCGGUCUGGAGAGGUGAGUGGAAUUCCGAGUGUAGAGGUGAAAUUCGUAGAUAUUCGGAUGAACACCAGUGGCGAAGGCGGCUCACUGGCCAGAUUCUGACGCUGAGGUGCGAAAGCGUGGGGAGCAAACAGU